CUCUAUUAUCAAUUGUAUCUCCUUUGGAAAAAGUUCAUUCAAAUUGUGAAGUGGUCUUCUGUGUACAGGUCUGUUUUGGUAAUUUUGCAGGAUUUCCAUGGGUGUGUGGUCUGCAAUUCCAAGAGUUUAGGUCAUUGUCAUGAUGGAAUGUGAAAUUCCUCAUCAUCUUUUUGACAGAGGAAAGGUUUUGUGAUAAAAUAUCUUGAGCUAUUCAUUAUCCUAUCUUGAUGAGAGCUCUCGACUCAGCUGAAGGGAAGCAGCCC